rnacentral:misc_RNA from 1 species
UAAGUCCUCCAGAUGAGUUAAACCUGAAAGAAAAGAAAGUGAUUACAAGUCAGUCUUUAAAUUAAGUGAUCCCACCAAGAAACAAACAUGUAUAGAAUAACCUAAAACCUGAUCAGUAGAAAAACUGCCUCGUUGUUAAGAAGGAUACAGAUGACAUACUACGAGAACACAUUAAAAUUGAAUUCAUUUUAAUGUAAAUUAGCAAUUCCAAACAACACAAAGAAAAUCAUAAGAGAAGUAAUGGAAAGCUUGCACGAUAAGAAGCCAAUCUCAUGGUUUAGGUGGCUUUGCUUGUGUAAUAUUUCAAUAAGAUUUUUUUGCAUAUUAAAAAAGAAAAGGAAAAAUGGAAAA